rnacentral:rRNA from 1 species
CGCGUGGGUAACCUGCCUCAUACAGGGGGAUAACAGUUAGAAAUGACUGCUAAUACCGCAUAAGACCACGGUACCGCAUGGUACAGUGGUAAAAACUCCGGUGGUAUGAGAUGGACCCGCGUCUGAUUAGGUAGUUGGUGGGGUAACGGCCUACCAAGCCGACGAUCAGUAGCCGACCUGAGAGGGUGACCGGCCACAUUGGGACUGAGACACGGCCCAG